rnacentral:lncRNA from 1 species
CCCCUUGAACGUUGUCCUAGAUCAUCUCUAGUGCUUGGGUUGAGACCUUUCUGAACCAGGUGACAGAGGGUAAUGGAGAAAGGUUUUCCCAAGAGAAACUCUGGGAAGCCAUUGACGAGCAGAAAGCGCGCGGAGUGGCAGGGGUCAUUACCGUCGUUACUGGCAGUAAUGAUGCGGCUGGUUCCACGUGAUGAGAGCUUCCUGCUUUCCAGUAUGUGCAGCAAAACUCAGAUUAAGAUUUUGGUGCUGGUGUCCACUGAAUUUUAAAAGCUCAUCAAAAUUCCCAAGGCCGGGUGCAACCUUUUCAAGUGUGGCUCUAACCUGCAUCUAUCUAAGCACCAGUCAAGCCCGUUGCAUCCACAGCUCAACUUCAGGCCUUGGGGAGCAUUUUUCUAAUAGAUUUUGAGGUCCCACUGUGCCUUCACCAGGACAUACUGUUCCACUCCUGCGUGCCACCCCUACGUAUUUACUGAUCUUCUUAAGUCAUUCUCUAGUUUUUUACUCCAUCCGUCAGCACCAUGGUGAUCUUCACCUACUGUUUGUUCCUGGAACCCUGGGCAGGAAUCUGCCAUUCACGUUCAUAAGAGCUCUCCGGGUCUUCCUCAACAAUAUCUUCUUGGAUGCCCUUUAUUGGCAACCCUGCAUGGUAGCAAUAUUUAAUUUUCUUACAUUCAGAGUGAUUAUAUAUAACCUAUCCAGAUGUCAGGCAUGGACAAGGCAAAAUUCAAACCCUUGUCUGCUGACUGCAAGUUCUGCCAUAUUUUCACCUACUAUGUUGUUUUCUUUUUCUGAACUUAUGUCUGCUAGCAGAGCAGGAAGGAACAGAGAAGAUACCCUUCAGGAUCAUCCAGUACUGUGGAGCAGGCGCCUCCAGGACAGCCUCCCCUUCUCCUUGCUUUCCUCCACCCACCUGGGACAGAACUUUGCACUUGCCGAAGUACUUUCCCAUGGCGUAUCUUCUUUGAUUGUAAACUGAGCUAUGUAGGGUCCUGUCUCAUGUAGCACACUGUAGUGUGAUGUCUGCUGACAUGCCCACUACCCCAUACAGAGGGAACUAUUUGGAAAAUUGGAUAUUCAAUCACACAGCAGGCUUGACCAGCCUGGAUUUUCCUCACUGAAGUUUUGACGACACUGUUACGGCCAGCACAGCCACUCCUGGAUGCGACUCUAGAAAGGAUUUUGAUGGCCAACAACCUUUCAUAGCUCUGCAGUCUUUGGGCAUCAAUCACCAGGGGAGUCUUGGCAACCAGUGAACCCCAUCCACGGAGUAGGUCCUGAUACUGAGGAUUCUGUCCUCAAGCUUUUCUACCAAAACUAACCUCCUCAAUGCCCUAUAUGGCAAAGGAUCCUGUUUCUGUUACAGAGGGUCUAGCUGUCUCAAUGAAGAUUUAGCAUUAAUAGUUAACAAAACCUCAGAAUGCUCAAUGCAUUCUUUACACUGAACAAAAGCUCCUUCAAACUCCUUAAC